rnacentral:lncRNA from 1 species
ACUUUAUUAGACAAAUGUUUUCAACCCUCUUUCAAGGUCAUCAGGUCUAAUCAGGCAAACAUUAGAAACAACAUAAAAUUUUAGCCUAUCAGAGUAUUUGUAUUCAACUCAAACAUAAUGUCAACAAUAAUAUUCUCAAACAUCUACCCCACGACUCAGAAAUGGGUGAACUGUGGCAAUGCAGGACAAAAUUCUACAGCAAAUUUUCUUCCACACGUCGGACUACUUGCGGUCGAUCAUUUUAUUACUUUCGAAAGAUUUAGUAGGAUAAAAAUAAUCUCUACGCACGACCAUUUUCAGAGAAAGACUGACUGCCAUCCACCCAAUUUCGGGUGUAGAUAUAAAUUUCAGGGGGCCUAGACCCAAUUUUUUGAAGUCUCUC